rnacentral:rRNA from 1 species
AAGGAUCAUUAGUGAAUACUAGGGUGUCCAAUUUAACUUGGAGCCCGAACUCUCACUUUCUAACCCUGUGCAUCUGUUUCUGGCUAGUAGCUCUUCGGAGCGAACGCCAUUCACUUAUAAACACAAAGUCUAUGAAUGUAUAAAACUUAUAACAAAACAAAACUUUCAACAACGGAUCUCUUGGCUCUCGCAUCGAUGAAGAACGCAGCGAAAUGCGAUAAGUAAUGUGAAUUGCAGAAUUCAGUGAAUCAUCGAAUCUUUGAACGCACCUUGCGCUCUUUGGUAUUCCGAAGAGCAUGCCUGUUUGAGUGUCAUGAAAUCUUCAACCCUCUCUUUUCUUAGUGAAUCGAGAGGUGCUUGGAUUCUGAGCGCUGCUGGCUUCUGGCCUAGCUCGUUCGUAAUGCAUUAGCAUCCGCAAUCAAACUUCGGAUUGACUUGGCGUAAUAGACUAUUCGCUGAGGAUUCUGGUCUCUGACCGGAGCCGGGUUGGGUUAAAGGAAGCUUCUAAUCCUAAAAGUCUAACUUUUGAUUAGAUCUCAAAUCAGGUAGGACUACCCGCUGAACUUAA